rnacentral:rRNA from 1 species
AGAGUUUGAUCCUGGUUCUAAAUGUUUGCUGGCGGCGUGCUUAACACAUGCAAGUCGAACGAGAACGGUUCCUUCGGGGACCUAGUAAAGUGGCGCACGGGUGAGUAACGCGUAGAUAAUCUACCUCAAUGUCUGGGAUAACAUCGGGAAACCGAUGCUAAUACCGGAUAUUCUCCCUUGUUGUAGGAUGAGGGAAUAAAGGUGGCCUCUGAUUCAAGCUGCCGCAAUGAGAUGAGUCUGCGUAUCAUUAGCUAGUUGGUAGGGUAACGGCCUACCAAGGCAACGAUGAUUAGCGGGUCUGAGAGGAUGAUCCGCCACACUGGCACUGGAACACGGGCCAGACUCCUACGGGAGGCAGCAGUGAGGAAUAUUGCGCAAUGGGGGAAACCCUGACGCAGCGACGCCGCGUGGACGAGGAAGGCUUUCGGGUCGUAAAGUCCUGUCAGAAGGGAAGAAAUGCAUGCCGGUCAAUACCCUGGUGUGUUUGACCGUACCUUCCAAGGGAAGCACUCGGCUAACUCCCGUGCCAGCAGCCCGCGGUAAUACCGGAGGGGU